UACGAAGGGGGCUAGCGUUAUUCGGAAUCAUUGGGCUUAAGGGGCGCGUAGGCGGCGAUAUAAGUUGGAAGUGAAAUCCCAUCGGCUCAACCGUGGAAUAGCUCCCAGUACUGUAUCGCUCGAGGGGGAUAGGGGUCUGCGGAACUACCGGUGGAGCGGUGAAAUGUGUUGAUAUCGGUGGGAACGCCAGUGGCGAAAGCGGCAGACUUGACCCUUCCUGACGCUGAGUGCGCGAAAGCUAGGGGAGCAAACGGG
rnacentral:rRNA from 1 species